CCUACGGGAGGCAGCAGUGGGGAAUAUUGCACAAUGGGGGAAACCCUGAUGCAGCAACGCCGCGUGCAUGAAGACGUCUUUCGGUAUGUAAAGCUCUUUCAGCAGGGGAGUAAAUGACGGUACCUGACUAAGAAGCCCCGGCUAACUACGGGCAAGCAGCCGCGUGAAUACGUAGGGGGCGAGCGUUAUCCGGAUUUACUGGGUGUAAAGGGAGCGUAGACGGCGUGUCAAGUCUGAAGUGAAAGCCCGGGGCUUAACCCCUGAACGGCUUUUGAAACUGAGCAGCUAGAGUGCUGAAGAGGUAAGCGGAAUUCCUAGUGUAGCGGUGAAAUGCGUAGAUAUUAGGAGGAACACCAGUGGCGAAGGCGGCUUACUGGACAGUAACUGACGUUGAGGCUCGAAAGCGUGGGGAGCAAACAGGAUUAGAUACCCGGGUAGUC
rnacentral:rRNA from 1 species